UACGGGGGGGGCAAGCGUUGUUCGGAAUUACUGGGCGUAAAGGGCUCGUAGGCGGCCUACUAAGUCGGACGUGAAAUCCCUCGGCUUAACCGGGGAACUGCGUCCGAUACUGGAUGGCUUGAGUAUGGGAGAGGGAUGCGGAAUUCCAGGUGUAGCGGUGAAAUGCGUAGAUAUCUGGAGGAACACCGGUGGCGAAGGCGGCAUCCUGGGCCAUUACUGACGCUGAGGCGCGAAAGCCAGGGGAGCAAACGGG
rnacentral:rRNA from 1 species